AACGAACGCUGGCGGCAGGCCUAACACAUGCAAGUCGAGCGCGCCCUUCGGGGUGAGCGGCGGACGGGUGAGUAACGCGUGGGAACGUGCCCUUUUCUACGGAAUAGCCUCGGGAAACUGAGAGUAAUACCGUAUACGCCCUUUGGGGGAAAGAUUUAUCGGAAAAGGAUCGGCCCGCGUUGGAUUAGGUAGUUGGUGGGGUAAUGGCCUACCAAGCCGACGAUCCAUAGCUGGUUUGAGAGGAUGAUCAGCCACACUGGGACUGAGACACGGCCCAGACUCCUACGGGAGGCAGCAGUGGGGAAUCUUAGACAAUGGGGGCAACCCUGAUCUAGCCAUGCCGCGUGAGUGAUGAAGGCCUUAGGGUUGUAUAGCUCUUUCAGCUGGGAAGAUAAUGACGGUACCAGCAGAAGAAGCCCCGGCUAACUCCGUG
rnacentral:rRNA from 1 species